CAAAACUCCUCACGGCGUCUGACCAUAGAAUGUAUGUGUUAUAGAAGGCAGAGGAAAAAUACAAUCAUUCAAAAGUCAAUCACUACAGAACAUACAAUAAGACCUUACACUCAAAAGCUUUUCAGCUGAGGGCUAAAGAACAAGAAACCAAACCACACACUGUAGAGUAAACUAUCACUCACACACAAAAUCUGUGCGUCUCACUGCACACAGCACCCAGUGUUCAAACCACCACCAGCACGCUGAGGAAAAGGAGGAUUCCUGACUGAAGCCCCCGGCAUCUAGCAGAAAGAGUUUACAGUUGCUUACACACACACACACACACACACACACACACACAAAAUAAAAAAGAACACAAUGAAGUCAAUAUAAACAGCAACAAAACUAAAAUAAUAAUACUAACAAUACUAGUAAUAAUAACACAAUAAGAAACCAAAAACACUUAACUGAAAACUAUAAUUCACACUAACACAAUCUCAAAACAAAAAGAAAAACAAAGCAAAUUACUAGUAACAUCAUCCAACCCACAUAACAAACCACUCUCACAAAUCAGACUAAAUGAAACAGACAAAAGUCACAAAACCGUAGGUUGUAGGACAACGGCGAUUCCUCGCAUUAAAUACGGACAAAAAGGCAGAGAGGAAAAGAUCUCAGACACCUUAGAAAAUGGAAACACAAUGGUUAAACGCCCGCCUGAAUGCCCAAUGGUCUCGACCCAAUCAGGAAAAGACUCACCCGCCGAUAGAACCAUGUCAAUCACUUGAAACAAACCACUCUCGAUCUCUCGUUGAUUUGUUGUGAUCCUGCAGCGUCACACAAGUUGGUUUACAUGUGCCUGAAAUACACACCAGACAGUUGGUUCCCACAAAUUACUGCAAUAACAGCUUACCGAAAGAAAUCAUUUCAGGAGCACGCAAAAGCUGGCAUACAGCCGCAAUCAAAUCACCCGCACGUUGGAAGCAAAUGGGAACCCCCCCGAGUCAAUCGGAGGUGACGUAUGUCUCGACAUGAAUGGAAAUGCGCUAUUUAUAGCCUAAUCGAAAAUGACGCGUCACCCCAACAAAGAGGAAAUUUGUAGGCGGCAAAUUCUAAUUAAAUAAUUAGUAUUCAUACAAACAUGGGAAGAGAGCGUCUGGUCACACAUGCAGUAGGAGGUAGAUUUAUUUAACCAAUAGUAAAAACCAAAUCAAUUCAACGUUCAGUAAGGUAUAGAGCAAUGUGUGAAUGGAACUUUCUCCCAAAUACUAUUAAACAAUAAAACACUUUGUAUGGUUUAAAAAAAUCACUUAAAAAUAUUACCUUCAAAGAAACAUAUACAGUUAAGGAGAUAUUGAUAUAGAUCUAUUCGGAGCGGCACAAUUUAUUUUUAU
rnacentral:lncRNA from 1 species